rnacentral:rRNA from 1 species
AGAGUUUGAUCAUGGCUCAGGACGAGCGCUGGCGGCGUGCCUAAUACAUGCAAGUAGAACGCUGAAGAAAGGAGCUUGCUUCUUUUGGAUGAGUUGCGAACGGGUGAGUAACGCGUAGGUAACCUGCCUUGUAGCGGGGGAUAACUAUUGGAAACGAUAGCUAAUACCGCAUAACAGCUUUUGACACAUGUUAGAAGCUUGAAAGAUGCAAUUGCAUCACUACGAGAUGGACCUGCGUUGUAUUAGCUAGUAGGUAGGGUAACGGCCUACCUAGGCGACGAUACAUAGCCGACCUGAGAGGGUGAUCGGCCACACUGGGACUGAGACACGGCCCAGACUCCUACGGGAGGCAGCAGUAGGGAAUCUUCGGCAAUGGGGGCAACCCUGACCGAGCAACGCCGCGUGAGUGAAGAAGGUUUUCGGAUCGUAAAGCUCCGUUGUAAGAGAAGAACGUGUGUGAGAGUGGAAAGUUCACACAGUGACGGUAACUUACCAGAAAGGGACGGCUAACUACGUGCCAGCAGCCGCGGUAAUACGUAGGUCCCGAGCGUUGUCCGGAUUUAUUGGGCGUAAAGCGAGCGCAGGCGGUUUAAUAAGUCUGAAGUUAAAGGCAGUGGCUUAACCAUUGUUCGCUUUGGAAACUGUUAAACCUGAGUGCAGAAGGGGAGAGUGGAAUUCCAUGUGUAGCGGUGAAAUGCGUAGAUAUAUGGAGGAACACCGGUGGCGAAAGCGGCUCUCUGGUCUGUAACUGACGCUGAGGCUCGAAAGCGUGGGGAGCAAACAGGAUUAGAUACCCUGGUAGUCCACGCCGUAAACGAUGAGUGCUAGGUGUUAGGCCCUUUCCGGGGCUUAGUGCCGCAGCUAACGCAUUAAGCACUCCGCCUGGGGAGUACGACCGCAAGGUUGAAACUCAAAGGAAUUGACGG